rnacentral:lncRNA from 1 species
UAUUUAAGUCGCGGGACUCAAUAUGGCGGCGCGCGCUCGGCCGCUUGACCCCGGUGUCCCCUAAAGCGGGUAAGGGAUGAAACUUUCUCAUCUCGAGUCAUGCUGUUUUCGGAAACGUAGGGAUGCGUUUUAAUUUCUAUGCGCCACCCGUGGGUCGGCCCUCACCUGCGAGUCGGCUGACCGUGAACGACCCUCACUUGCUGUGCACCGGAAGGGCUUGGUCUUCUUGGCCUCUGUUUCCCGGAAGUGGUUUCCCUCCACCUCCUCAGGAGGGCCGGCCUUCCCUAAGGGCGGAGUCUAGGGCUUCUUUGGGACUGAAUAUGCAUUAGCUUUUGGAAGUCCAGCUUUGAUUUUCCCCUAAGCAUUGUUACAAAGGCCGGACUGCGGCUCUGGGCACCGUUCACAUCCUCGGCCGCCUUUGGCUUUGUGACCUUGGGCCGGUUGUAUAAGCUCUCUGAGCUUCCCAGGUGACUUCUCUGCAAAGUGGGCUGGUAACGCCCGAGUUGGUGCUAAAUCCUAAAGUUCAUGCUGCGAACCGGUCCCUCAACAGAUCAGCCUCUGUUUGGUCUGGUGGCAUGCCCCACAGGCUCCUGAGAGACGUGAGAAGCAGCUUUGUAUGGGAGCCACCUCUGCUCGCGUUUCCACCCAGAACCAAAGGACUGACCAUUCUUUCAAUCCCUAAGCAGUGUCUUUUCUAUCUAAUCCUAAUAACCAAGCCUGGAGGAAUUGUAGACUUUCUGGUUGAAGGUUCAACAGGUCUCCUCGUUUAAGGAUAGAGUAAGUCUCACUGAAGCUACAGAGGAGAAUCUGGAAAAUGCAAAUGUUACUACCUUAACCGAAAGAGGGAGGAGGGGACGCUUUCCUAAAUGGCCUUUACCUUGGACCUUUUCUUUCUCCUGGCAUUUGGGCUGCCAGGGAUCUUGCUUCUGCCCCACCAACACACUGAAAGCAAGAGCUCUUGACGUGAUGACUAAGGAAAAGAAUUUGGUUUUCAUUCGGAGACAGCUGAUUCUGAAGCCAUCUUAAAGCCUAAGCAUAGCACAACUGCAUUCAUGAUUCUAUGAAUUCUUUCCUACCAUUGGAACUUAGGGAAGGGGAGAGGAAGUGUGCAUCUAGGAAAUGUGGAAGGACAAGCUCUUCGUUCUUUCAUCCUUCCGCUGCCUUCUAACUCUGUGGUCGAGUGUGGUCUUCCCAGGAGAGCAUCUUCCAGGAAACUUAUUAGAAAGGAAGAACCCCAGGCCUCAUUUCACAUCUGAAGCAGAGUCUGCCUUGUAGCCAACUCCCCAGCCAUUGCUAGGCAUGCUAAAGUUGACGAGGCCCUGGUUUAACUCCUGGGGUGGUCUGGUUUAAAGUGAUGAGAUGGCAUCAAAGAUGACGGAAGGACAGAGUCCGCAGAGCCAGAAUUUGGGGCAGUGGAGGCAGAGAUUUCCUUUCCUGCAUUUGGGCACUGCCAGCAGGUUGAUUCAGAAGAUGGGUGAAAAAUUUGUUCCUGGGGUAGCAGGAGGAGCACCUUUGGAAUCUACUCACGGAGGUCUUCAGCAAGGUGAGGUUCCUCUGACCAAGAAGCCGGCUGCCCAGAUGCACUAAGCACGCCUCCCUCGCAUAUUCCGGAUUUUGAAUCUUAUCCACGUAGCACUAUGUACCUACUCCGUCCCGGCCAGGAGGCAGUUUCUGGAAGGUCUUUCCACCUGGAGACGUGUAUCAAAGACUGGGCUGUUUAUUUGGCCUUGGGCUACUUGGUGAUGGAAGAGAAGUGGCUUGCUCUCCUGAACAGUAAGCACAGACGUCCACAUCAAUCAUUGUUGCUUCAAGAAUUCCUAUUUUUAGCAAAAGCUUUCCAUUUUUAUGAGUUUGCAAGCGUGUGUCAGUGAGUUAGUGACUUUCACCCAAACCAUGGUGAGAGCGCUGGUCAUUUCCUCUAGGUGUGCGCUGGUAGAGUCUCAUGAGAAUGGGGUCGUCUGGCUCCUUCUCAAAGCAAGUCUUUGACAGAGCUGUGCAGCGUUCCGGUUUCCACAGUCCCCAGGGCUGUGAUUCGGUGCAAACCCAAGGUGAGCUUCGCCGAGCCGGCAGUGGACACCUCAGUUUUUCCUUCCAUCUGGUGUAUGGCCUGGGCAUGUCUCUCCAAAGGCACAUUCCCUCGUUGGUAAAAUAGAGCAUCUCACAUCCUAAUCUUACAAGAUGCUUUAUAAGCCUCAAGCAGAAUAAAAACGUCAGGAUUUAAUAACA